rnacentral:rRNA from 1 species
UAAUACGUAGGGUGCGAGCGUUAAUCGGAAUUAUUGGGCGUAAAGCGUGCGCAGGCGGUUUUAUAAGACAGAUGUGAAAUCCCCGGGCUUAACCUGGGAACUGCGUUUGUGACUGUAAGACUGGAGUGUGGCAGAGGGGGGUGGAAUUCCACGUGUAGCAGUGAAAUGCGUAGAUAUGUGGAGGAACAUCGAUGGCGAAGGCAGCCCCCUGGGUUAACACUGACGCUCAUGCACGAAAGCGUGGGGAGCAAACAGGAUUAGAUACCCUGGUAGUCCACGCCCUAAACGAUGCGAACUAGGUGUUGGGGAAGGAGACUUCCUUAGUACCGCAGCUAACGCGUGAAGUUCGCCGCCUGGGGAGUACGGUCGCAAGAUUA